CCUCUCGGCGAGCGCUGGACAGGGCGCGCCCCUCGGCAGGCCCGCGCGGCCGGCAAAACAAAAACAAACGUGCCGCGCCAGUCGGAGGACUGUGCUCCCCCAGAGAAUCUGCACAUAAGAAGUGGAGGUAAGGGUUUCCUGGUGCAGUGGCUUGCAACGCUGGUGGGUCCUGAGGUGGAGAACUGGACAGACGCUAGAAGACUCCAGUGGAUAGAGUCUUCAGAUUGAAAGGAAGGUCUGUGGUCCUCUGGGACUUACCAAAGAUAACUUCAAUAUAAUCAAGAUGGCCUAGCUUUAGACUGCUUUCUGUAUCACAGAUCUG